rnacentral:rRNA from 1 species
AACGAACGCUGGCGGCAUGCCUAACACAUGCAAGUCGAACGAAGGCUUCGGCCUUAGUGGCGCACGGGUGCGUAACGCGUGGGAAUCUGCCCUUUGGUUCGGAAUAACAGCUGGAAACGGCUGCUAAUACCGGAUGAUGACGAAAGUCCAAAGAUUUAUCGCCAGAGGAUGAGCCCGCGUUGGAUUAGGUAGUUGGUGGGGUAAAGGCCUACCAAGCCGACGAUCCAUAGCUGGUCUGAGAGGAUGAUCAGCCACACUGGGACUGAGACACGGACCAGACUGCUACGGGAGGGAGCAGUGGGGAAUAUUGGACAAUGGGCGCAAGCCUGAUCCAGCAAUGCCGGGGGAGUGAGGAAGGCCCUAGGGUUGUAAAGCUCUUUUACCAGGGAAGAUAAUGACGGUACCGGGAGAAUAAGCCCCGGCUAACUCCGUG